CGGCUUGGAAUUUUGUCUCGGUCAAAGCGGUGUCGUUUCCUUUCUGUCUCCUCUCAACUCUCUUUUCAAUUAAUUUGUUUUACUCUUCUUUCUUAUCUCCCAAUUAGCCUGGUCCCUCCCAAGAUCCCUCCGCCGACCGGAGCUCCUCCCUGACCUCGCUCUUGCGUUCAUGCUCUGGCUUCUCCAUGCGUGGAGCUCUCCCGCUUGGAGGCUGUGGGAGGAGUCCUGGUCUCUUGAUUUUGGUGUGGUUUUUGGCCUCUCGGUGGUGCCGCUGGGGAUCUCGAGCGGCCAGCCAUGCCAUUUCCCGUCGGGCUCCGGCAGCAGCAGUCCGUCCCACAGGAUUCCCGAACGGCCGGAGCCCGUCGUGCCGCUAUUUUUCCCUCCGUUCCAUUGCUCCACUAGACUGCUGCGCUACUGCCGCUUGAUGCAGUCCUGCCGGCCGCCAAUUGAGACGAAGCUCGGCUGCACCGGCUGCCGGCUGCCGCUCGAUUCGGCGGCCAGCCACAACCAACGCUGGCCGCACCGGUCGAGUCCGCACCCAGUUGCCACCGAAGUCGCUCUUAUGCGUCGCCACCUCCGGCCACCAUUAUUCUGCAUCUCCUAGACGUCUGUACACUUGGAUAGAGCCUCUUCCUCCAUCGGGCGCCGGCGCUGCUCCGCCUCUGUCUGACCACGCAGUCACCGAGGAUGGCCGCUCUUUGUUCCAUCAGGCGCUGCUGCCGCCGCGCCGUCUCCGUGCGGCCAUGGUCAACCGACGUUGCGGCGCACGUGACGAGCUCGCCCCCUUCCGCGUCGCCUUCUCCGCCUCUGCGUCGUCGUUGCACCCGCCCGUGGGCGCGAGUUCAAGGAUCCGUGCGACCAUGGUCACCUGGUGGCGCGACGCACACGGCAAGUUCGGCCUGCCCGGGGGCGGGCGUUCGUCUGUUCAGCUUGAAUUUCCUCCCGUUCCGGGCACAAUUGCAUGUUUCGCAAGGUGCUGCAGUUGGUAUCGCCUCUGCUCUAAGAUCGAUCAAUUGUUCCCAUCUUCUAAUCCUGCUAUUUCUGGUUAUUCUUUGGUCAAUUUCGUGCCUAUUUCUCGGGUAGUACAUUGUGCUUUGUCUGACGCCAAAGCUUGGAGGCAGGAAAUCUUGCAGUAGCCCGAAGCGGCAAGACGUCGUUACGUAGUUUCAAGAGCCACUAGAUUGAUAAGGCAUAUUGGAAAAGUAAGGAUGCACAUUUCCUUGGUAAAAGAUGUAUCACACGGAGUCUACCAAUGGAAAUGGUGCGUGUUGGCGCACCUGGGAAUAUAGAGAUUAGGACACACGACAUCAAUUAUACGAGAUGGAUUUUAUUGUCGUCAACCGUGAGGGAAACAUGGUAGAGGGGGCUGUUUACCGGCCUACUGUGCCGAUCAAUUAAGAGACUAAUUGAAGAAAGGCUUGAUCUAGGCUUGAGAUGUUCAUUGUUGCGGGAGCACCAAAGAAGCCCAGAACGGCAAGCCAUCCGUAUAUGAUCAACUUUGCUCAAUGCACAAUGAUUCAGGAAGUUGCUCAUCAGCCUGAGAAUUUCCCUCUUUAUCAUAUAAUGCUUAUCCAUUUGAUGUUCUGGAAGCAUGUAUAGCAGAUGCAUACUUUAAGGUUUCCUUCAUUCUGCACUACAGAUGUUAUUGGGGCUUUUAUGUGUCAAUCAUAAGAAGAACCUGUAAUAAAAGUCGCCUCUAUAGCAGACCUCUUCUAGCACAUCGUUGUUGUAGUGAAUUUGUUUUGAUCUAAAAAUAUUUUUUUUUGUGCGAGGUAUAUUUCUCGAAUUGUGAAAUAAUUAUUAUGGUUUUCACAAUAGAGUAGAAUUGUAUUGAUUGCUAGAGUAACAAAAUUUUUGGUGUGCUGACAUAGUGCAGGAGUCAUGGUACAGCAAUAUACAUCAAUUUUUUUCUUUUCUUGGUUACUUCAGUCCUUUUUUUAAUUUCAUAUGACUCUUUAAGAAAUUCGGGACUAGAUGCAAAUUAUGUAAGCACAUGGUACAAUGCUGCCAAUGAUUCACUGAAUAUACGCUUUACAAUCAGAUACAAUCCAACCAACAAAUUUAUGUCCAUUUGCCAUAAAGUAAUCCCAGAUCGUGGGAAACAUGUUGUGCAGUCCAAUAAGGUUACUUAUAUCAUCAGUACUUUCUCAAAACAUCUACUUUUGUCAGGUUUCUCAUGUCUUACAUGCAUCCCGGCAAACUCCACUUCGUGGAAAAUUUUGAAGCUAGCAUUCUAUUGCCAACUUUGACUUGCUUUUGUUGAAGACCAAUUUCCAUUCUAAAGCCUGCCCAUGUAAUUCUAUGUGAUGAAUGCACCAAAUCCUUUCAUGAUUUCAUUCGAGGAACUCAUAGCAUCAAAGACACAUUGACUGCACAGUCAUUUUCACUCAUUAUUAGAUGAAGCUCGUGUCAGGGAAUAAGUCUAAUUAAGGCUAUGCAUACUCUAGAAUGGUUGUACCACUAUGCUGGGUUGCAAGAGGUAUAACACCAUGUCUCCUUUAAUUAGUCAGUUGGUACCCGGCGUAUACCAGUUAGAGGUGAAAAUUUCUUGGUUUUAGUUGUAUUAUAGUUUAAGUCAGGUCAUACCCCAGUCCUACUCAGUUUGAUCCUAACUCGAAAUGUUAUUUUUCCCCUUAGACCUUUGAAUUGCUAAUAUUUUUUCAUGGUUCUGUAACAAUGGUUAGCAAGUUUAUUGUUGGCUAUUUUGGCA